rnacentral:lncRNA from 1 species
AUUUACUCUGUCUUCCUCUCAAGUCUAACCGAAGCCCAACAAACCACCACCUCGGCCAUGGCAACCACCCUCGCCACCGACGUCCGCCUCUCCAUCGCGCACCAGACCCGCUUCGCCCUCCGUCUCGCCUCCACCAUCUCAUCCGCCCUAAGUCUGCUGCCAGCAAUGCCGCCUUCUCCCCGGUCUCCCUCCACUCCGCACUUAGCCUCCUCGACGCUGGCGCGGGCAGUGCCACUCGGGACCAACUCGUCGCCACACUCGGGACAGGCGAGGUCGAGGGACUCCACGCGCUCGCCGAGCAGGUGGUCCAGUUUGUGCUCGCCGACGCGUCCUCUGCUGGAGGUCCGCGUGUCGCCUUUGCCAAUGGCGUCUUCGUGGACGCGUCGCUGCUCCUCAAGCCAUCCUUCCAAGAGAUUGCAGUGUGCAAGUACAAGGCCGAGACCCAAUCCAUGGACUUCCAAACUAAGGUGACCCCCCCCCCCAACUUGGUUCUUACCAGAAAACAAAAACAAUGUAAAAGAAUUUUUAACGGACCUAAUUAUGUACAUUUGAGAGAAACAAUGACAUGCUUAACUAACUACUUCAGCCGCCUGUACAUGUUGGCAUGCCACUGCUUCACUCAGAGAGUUUGUUUUCUGCUGAUGUAAUAUAGAGGUCUAUAUUAAUCUUAUACACAUUCUAGAUUUGUAAUUUAGUGGUUAUCGUAUAUCACUGUUUUUUACACUAGAAGCUUCACCUUUGUAAGCAUAGUUCACACCUGCGACCUUGAACUGUGAAUGAUUUUGCUUAUCCUGUUAGUCAGCAUGAUUGGAGAUAACUAGUCUGUUACUUUUCUGAGCAUACCUAAUCUUUUGGGAGUGUAAUUCUCAUACCGUGCUAUCUAGGGAUAUGAAGGCUGGGGAAUUUGCUGAUGUUUUAUACUUUAAUUACGCUCUUCAGCGAAGUGAGAUUAUAAUUUUGGGAGUAUUUCCUGGAAACUUUGUCUCCAACGUAAGAAGAUGUACAAAAAAUCAGCUAAAGAUUAUAAUUUUGGGAAUAUUUCUGUAAAAGGUAUUGCAUAGUGGUGCUUCGAGAUGUUGUGAUGACCAUUUAAAUUUGUAUGCUCAUAUGAAUUGUUUUUCUAUCAUACGUCGUUGUAUGUGCUGAUUUUACUAUGUGUUUGAAAAUUUUACUAUAGAAAUGCUUUAUAAAAACGCUAGUAUGCUGCUUUGCAUUCUUAGCACAACUAUUAUAUUUUGUUCUUUGAAAGAAUUUUCUAUUGGUUUGUUCAAAGGUUGGUGGCACAGCAGUACCGUCAAACUAUUUUCAUUACAUAACUGACCUUUGUUUAUUUUUUCCAUGGCCCAGGCCGCUGAAGUUACUACUCAAGUGAACUCAUGGGUAGAGAAAGUCACGAGCGGUCGCAUCAAGGACAUUCUCCCCUCAGGAUCUAUUGACAAUACCACUAAACUUGUUCUUGCCAAUGCCCUUUAUUUCAAAGGAGCUUGGACAGAGCAGUUUGAUUCAUAUGGAACAAAAAACGACUACUUCUACCUUCUUGAUGGGAGCUCAGUUCAAACACCAUUCAUGUCCAGCAUGGAUGACCAAUACCUUUUGUCUUCUGAUGGGUUGAAGGUACUUAAGCUUCCUUACAAGCAAGGUGGGGACAAUAGGCAGUUCUCCAUGUAUAUCCUUCUUCCAGAAGCACCGGGUGGUCUCUCAAGCUUGGCCGAAAAAUUGAGUGCUGAACCAGACUUCCUGGAGCGGCAUAUCCCAAGGCAGAGGGUUGCACUUAGGCAAUUCAAGCUCCCCAAGUUCAAGAUAUCAUUUGGAAUUGAAGCAUCCGAUUUGCUCAAAUGUUUGGGCCUCCAGCUUCCAUUCGGCGAUGAAGCGGAUUUUUCGGAGAUGGUGGAUUCCCUAAUGCCACAAGGUCUUCGUGUCUCAUAUGUUUUCCACCAAGCGUUUGUGGAAGUGAACGAACAAGGAACUGAGGCUGCAGCAUCAACUACUAUUAAAAUGGUCCCGCAACAGGCAAGGCCGCCCUCGGUCAUGGAUUUCAUCGCGGAUCACCCUUUCCUCUUCCUUCUCCGGGAAGACAUCUCUGGUGUGGUCCUAUUCAUGGGUCAUGUGGUCAAUCCCCUCUUAUCUUCGUAAUGUGUUUGCUCUGAAAGUGUGUGUUGUCAGUUGCCCUCAGCCAUUACAUGUAAGGGAAGGGUUUCGACGGUCAGUCAUGUUACCGAUACAAUAAAUCCAAUAAAUGGUUCUCCUAAGAUAUCCAAUAAAUUGUCUUUUAAUAACUGCUUGCUUGUUGUGCAAAGGAAAACCAAUUGGACUAUUUUUCAUUAAUCAUUGUGGAUUUGUGGUAGUGCGGAUUUCUCAAAGAACUACUCAUGCCAAAAGAAAAAAUCUAAGUCAUCUUGAUUAGUACUAUCCGACAUGAAUCUCAUCGUCAUUAACAUCUAUAUUUCACAAAAAAAUGCCAAUGGCCACUUUUUGAGAUUGAAUAUGCUCUUCAAUUUCUCUUCUUCUUAGAUUUUUCAUAUCCUCGCUUAUCUUUAGAUACACUAUAACUCCUUGAGAUUGGAGCUCCCAGGGCCGAUUGUGUUGAUCGAUUUACAUGGCCCCACAUGAACGGACGUGACCUUCCACGCUACCCUCUUCCUUGCCGCAGAUCCUUCCUCAGUUUCUCUCCCUUCCGAGAAUCUAUUCCGACAUAGAGACAACGCCUCCAGCACUAUAGUUGGUGCGGCCGACCGCUUUCUGGCUCUCCUCUCCGAUUCCCUGCCUCAGAGCAUCUACAGCCUCAAACACGGUGUGUCUGCGGGCACUGAUCGGUCACUUCACAAAUUGGCAUCUACAUUCGUGUAUUUCAUAUCAGAUCUCCUAUAUCCAUACUAAACUAUGUAGCAUUGAUCAAACUACGUAUAUCAUCAAACGGACAAAAAAUGCACUAUACGUUCAUCAAAAGAUCAUCAACGGAUCUUCGAAAUACCGCCAAAGUUCACAUAGUGCACAUAAAUGACGGACAACUUUAAACUACGUCUAAAAACUGAGCGGAUCUUCAUCACUUCCUCGCCGGAACUUUCCCUUUUCGGUCGCCAGCACAGCUGUAGGCGUCGGCGGCUGGUGGAGGAUCGUCCGAGUCGUCGGACGAGGCGCCGUGGUCGUCACUAUCGUCAGAGGAGGAGCAGAGGAUGAUGAGGCGUUUGAGGCGCCGGACGGCCCGGUCCUGCUGCCGUUUGAGCUCCGCCAGCCGAGCCGCCUCCAAUGCUUUCUCCUCUGCCUCGCGCUCGAACUGCUCGAUGGCAAGCCGGAGCACCUUGGCGUUCUUCCAGCGGAGCUGCCGAUCAUCCGUCUCCGCUGUCGUAAGCGACCGGCAGUAGACCCAAGUGGGGAACCGCUCGUCCCCGUCGAGCUCCGCCGGAAACCCGCGGCGGCGGCGGACAUAUUACUCCUCCGCGUCCCUCUCCCUUGCCCGCUGCCUGCGGUGGCGGGCGUCGGACAGAUUUCUCCGCCGCGUCCCUCUUCCUUGCUCGCUGCCUGUCGUGGCGGGCGGCGCGCGCCUAGCGUGCAUGCCGCGCUCGCUGGGCGGGCACAAGUACCCACCGCUACCCAUGUGGGGGAGCAGCAGCCGACGAGGACAGGGGAUAGUGUGGGGGAGGCGCGGACUGCGCAGCCCUCGUGGCGCUGCGUGUGGGCCGGGAGGGGCCUGCGCCGGCGUCCUCGCUGCGCUGGAAGGGGAGAGGUGAGGCGGCAGAUCCGGAACUGACCUCCGUGUCCACCUUGGACCUCUCGACGGCAAUGCGGAGAGCCAGCACCUCGUCGAUGUUGACGUCAGAGUCGGAGCGGCUGCCGGAACUAGACAUGGUCGCCGGAGUCGUUUGACUGAAUCGAAUCUGGGAAAUCCGAGGAGGAGAAGAGAUGAAACGAGAGCGGAGCGAGGUAGGGUUUUCGAUUGGGGAUAUUUGUGGUGACGGCGUGGGGCCGGUGUGGACCGGGCUACCAUGGCGGACGCACCCGGGGCGCUCGAUAUCCGCCCUAGAUUUGAUCUGAAUAUGAGGGGAGUGAGACAGUCCAAGCAUUUGAGGCUUGUUUGAGGACACGUCUGGAUCAAAUUUUCAUGCUCGGUCAAUGAUCGCGCCAUCCGUCCGGACGUUUGAGACGGAUUUAGAAUGCGCGCCUGUAGAUGCUCUCGGCCUCAAUCUUUCGCCUCCAAACGUUCCCCCGCGACCAACCCAAUCCAGGCCUCGUUCACCGUCUAGCAGUCGUCUGCGCCGCCUCCCGCAAUUCCUCCGACCUCCGGUGCAACACUUCAUGUAACUUCCCUGGAUCAUCGCGCUUCCCGCGCCGUCUCGUCGACAGUCGACGUGCGCUUCUCAUGUUCAAUUUUUCAAGGAUAGUGUCACCGCUUUUUUCUCAUAGUGUUUGGCUGCUCGAUCACCUGGCCGCUGUUAAUCUCAUCUCGGUGAUGCAGCAAACAAAGGAGAGUGCGGGUCUGCAGUUCAAGGUCAGACUGCAGUGCAACUGUGCAAUGUAAGUUUGACUGACACGCUUGGAUCUGCCGCGUCUUUGUGCUGGGUGCUAGUCGCUGCCCUGCUAGAUGCAUGGAAGAGUUGCAUGUAUACACACCGGUGUUGAGCGUUGGUGGCCUCAUUGGUGACUGUCGUGGUUCUAAGUCUGACAAUAGAAUGGGGGGUAAGUAUGGAAAGGCAAGGUCCUAGCUAUGGAGUAGUUGUACACACGGGUGUUUAGCGAGUUUAGACCCUUCUCUGAGGAAGUAACAGCCCUACGUCUCGGAGCCCGGAGGCGGUCGACUGAUCUCUAUGUAUAUGAGUUACAGAAGUGCGAACCUUUCUACCAGUGGAGGGGGGUGGCUUAUAUAGAGGACGCCAGGACCCCAGCCAGCCCACAUAGAGGAGGGUUAAAGUACAUUAAGGCUGGGCGUUACUGGUAACGCCCUAUAUAAAGUGUCAUCAUGACCAUUAAGACUAUUUAAUUACAGACCGUUUGGAUGCAGAGUAGAUCCUGAACUUCCGAUAGUCGAGUGCGUCUUCAUGGUCGAGUGUCUUCUAGCUAGUCGGGUGGAGUCUCCCUUGGUAGAGUGGAGCUUCUUUUGGUCGACCGGAAGGUAGCUUCGUAUGAUAAUGUCCUUUGGCAUGGUAUCCUAGAUAGGUCCAUGACCCUAACCUAGGUACAUAACCUCAUCAUUAGCCCCCGAAUGGAUCGAGGUUCGAGUGAGGAAGGAGUUGACGAUUUUCUCCGACUUAUUUACUGUACUUUGAUUGUGUCGUAUCUUGGAUCGGCGAUUCUUCUUUCGGCGCUGGCGUCGACUUUUACUUCAGUCGCCUUGAUCCAUUCUUAUCUUUUGUCGAGUGAACUUUUGAACUCCGGUGAACUUACGAGCGACGGAUCGCGGGAAGGAUAUCGUCUGACAGAUUGAUCUGCUGUUAGCGGAUUUUGCGGGAUCUGAAAUUUGGGAAGCGCACGAAGCGGGGCAAUCCGCGGCAAUCGGGCGGGAUAAGGCAUGGACGCCUUGAUUUCCGCGUCGCCUUUUUCGCCACGUAUCGUACGUGUGCGACUGUUUCGGGAUGUGACAGAUCUGCUCGGACCCACUCGUCAGCCACUCGGAAGCGCCCUUAUAUAAAGCGUCGGGGAAGAGUUUUUGAACAGUGCCUCCCCAUUCUCCUCUCUUCCCUCUCUGCCUCCGCCCACGGCGCCUGCUCCUAGCUCCGCCUUAUCCACCUCUCGAGCGCUUCGCCGACGAUAAUGGUGAAGGAGAAGACGGCGGUUCUAGAGCGCGCGAAGAAGGUGACGGCGACGGGGCAAGCGAAGGGGAGACCGUCCAGUCGGGGCGGAUCUUCGUCGAGGUCCCGCCUGCCGAAGGGUUGGGUCCAAGGGGAUUGGAUCCGCUCGACCAUCACUGGGAAGGACCUCGACGACCUGGCCAAUGAGGGACUGAUCCCCCACGGGUCAGCAAGGCCCCCGGGGUCCGAGUGUCAACCGCAGCCGCAGGAGGGUGAGCGCGUUCUCUUAGCCACUCACGUAGAUCGUGGUUUUUCUCUGCCGCCGAGUGUGUUCUUCCGUGGGUUUCUGAAAUUCUUUGGGGCGCAACUCCACCAUUUCAAUCCCAAUUCCAUCGCCUAUCUUGCUGCCUUUGUGUCCAUGUGCGAGAACUUCCUGGGUUGUCGACCGCACUGGGGUCUCUUCAAGCACAUAUUCACCUGUCGGUCGCAGACCGUAAAAAAGGCGAGCUCGGGUGAUGAGAGGACCAAGGUUAUUCAGAUGUGCGGGGGUCUUGGGAUUCAGUUGAGGAAUAAGAGCACUUUCCCGGCCAUGACCCUUCCUGAGUCGGUCAGAGGGUGGCAGUCGACUUGAUUCUACUGCCAAGACGAGUCGACGCCGGGGCAGUCGACUGGUCUCCCUCCGUUCUCCAUGGACCGAGUGGUCAAACCGUCUUCUCUGAAGGUGCUUCCUGAGGAGAAAGCCGAGGUAAAAAUGUUGGUGGAGCGCAUGGUCCAACUCGUUCGGGACGGAGUGACGGGCAUGGAUCUUCUGAAAGUAUUCCUUAGGCGGCGCAUCCAACCGCUCCAGUAUCGAGGCCACCCGAUGUGGUUGUACUGCGGUACCGAAGACACCACUCGGGUCCAUCCAGAGGCAGUCGACGACGCCACGCUGGAGAGGUGGGUGACCUCCAUCACAGGGAACAAGGACAACCGUCGAGGAGUGAGGAGGAUCCCGCCACUCGACUGUACCUAUACGCCGGACAAGGUAUGGCCGCUUAUCUCCGAGUGUAAUUUUGUUUUAUCCAUUCUGCUUUGCCACAAAUUGGUCGAUUGAUCUUUGUUUUGCUCUGUUGUCUGAUAGGCCACCACUGAAUUGUACUCGAUUCCCAAUGGGGCGCAGACGCCGACUGAGGAGGAGGAAGGAAGCGGGGGCGAAAGCCCGGAGGAGUGGGAUUCAGAUGUCGACGACGACGAUGAGGGUGAUGACUCUAGUGAGGAGGAAGAAGAGGAGGAAGAGGAGGAAGUUGCACCUCCCCGCUCGGAAAGACGCUCGAAGCUUGCCCAUGAUCCAGCGACUGAGCGGGGUAAGGGGGUCGCAACCGCUUCUCAGUCGACCAAGCGCCCUCGGACCACUUCUCCGGCGCCGACUGAGAAGGCUCCGAAGCAAUCUCGAGUGGCACCGUCGAAGCCUGCAAAGGUCUUGCCGAAGAUGAAGAUGGUGAUCCCCACUAUCUCAGGGUAAUGGUAGUUUUGAGCUUUCCCUGUUUCAUGAACUUGUUCUUGGUCGACUCAUGGUCCAAUCGACUGACUUUUGGAACUGCAGCGUUGCUACUUCCGACACUUCGGCGAGAGCCGAAGACCACGAGAUGGAGGAUGCUGCAACCUCGAACCCUGGUAUGACUCCUGCGUUGCCGUUUUCAGUCGACUGACUCAUUGUCUCUAAUUUUUAUUCUUUCUGCAGUUUCAUCUAACAUUGUUAUUGACCUUCCUGACGACGACGAUGAAUAACCACCACGGCCGAGGAAAAGCAAGAAAACGUCGGCUGGCAAGGCGACUCAGGAUGUGCCGGCACCCGAGACGUUAGUCGUGGAGGGAGACAAUGUCACUCGACCCACCGUAACCUUCGCGGUGCCGUUGAUGAGUGCUCGCCCUUCAUCGUCGAGUGCUGCUCAACCCUCGCUUUUCUCCACCUACCCCGUUCCAGAAGACCAAGCCAGUGCUGCCAAAGAAGCGAUACGCCAGGCGGGGGUCAUGAUGGAGCAAGUGAAGGCAAUUCGAGAAGCCAGCCAGGCAGCCUAUGACGCCAGUUCGGCACUCCAGAGUAAUGUUCAGGUCAGUCGGUCACUGCCUGUUCUUCUUUCUGAAAUUCCUAGAGUCUGUCCUACACCCAGUGGGUGUGUGUCGAUUAAAAUUCCGGGUUAGUGGGGGCACGCUGAGUGCACCCACUGGGUGUAGUCCCCAAGGCUAUGGUGGACUGCUGGCAGUCGACCAUAGUCUUAAUGCUUUGAGUUUUUCUUUACUCGACAAGGUCGAAUAGAUUCAUAGACCGGUGGGGGCACGCUGAGUGCACCCACUGGGUGUAGUCCCCGAGACUGUGGUCGACUGCUGGCAGUUGACUAUAGUCUAAAGAACAUUGCCUCUCUUUUUUUUGUUGGUCGACUAGUCGACUCUUGAUGAAACUAGUGGGGGCACGCUGAGUGCACCCACUGGGUGUAGUCCCCGAGACUAUGGUCGAAUGUUUGCAUUCGACCGUAGUCUUAGAAACGCUAUGAUUUUUCCUUACUCACUCGGAAGUGAAUUUUCUUUGACGUCUGUCGAUUGAUUCUUCGUAGAAAUCAUGUGACCUUGUGGCUCGUUAUACUGAGUUGGAGAACAAACACAUUCAGCUCGAGCUCGAUCUGAAACUGGCCCAAGAGACCUUGACGAAGGCGAAGGAGGAAGCUAAAGGUAUGCUUGGUGAGGCCUUUGACGACUGCCUUUGCCUCUCACUUGUUUCCGAAUCUGAUCUCACUGUAACUUUGUAGGCAAAGUGAUGGACGCCCUGAAGAAACAAGAGCUUGACUUGGCUGAGAUGCAAAAGACUGCUUUAGAGAAGACCAGGCUAGCGGAUGAGAAGCUGGCUUCAGUGACUAAGCUUGAAGAAGAAAACACCAAUCUGAAAGCUGCUCUUGAUGCUGCCAACCAGGAGGUCACUUAACUGAAAAGCGACAAGACCACCCUGAAUGACAAGGCCAGUGAGUUGAAGAGAAAGAAGAAUGAUCUAGAGGCUUAUCUGGGUGGACUCGCCAAGAAGUUGUUCCUCAUGCUUGAAGGUAAUCCUUUGUAUCGAACAAAUAUUUUAAUUGUAACCUCUGACUGUUUGUCUUGACUCGGUGGUUGUGCUUGCAGAAUUUUGUCAGAACUUUGAAGAGGAGACUGGUCGACUGGAAGUGAACCUGGACCCCAUCAACUCUCCUGUGAAAGAUGAAGUUGCCAUGAACAUGCUCCGACUUGAAUCUCGUGUUGCUGCUAUCAUCGAUUAUCUCGCAAGGCUGAAGGUCGCAACUUCCUGCAUCGACACAACACUCUGGCCAAGAGAGACACUCCAGAACGACCUCGAGUCUCUGAUGACUCGACUGAACGAGGUCCCAAGUCGAGUGCAGGAGUGGAAGAAGUCUUCGGCCAGGUGUGGCGCGGAUGUUGCUCUAUCUCUGGUCCGCGUUCACUGCAAGGAUGCAUGAGAGGACAAGCUGGUGGCUCUCAGGGUGGCCAACACCAAGAAGCACGAUUUCAGAUCCUUCAUGGAGACCUUCAUUGCCGCUGCCACUCGGAUUGCAGAUGGAAUCGAUCUGGACGAGUUUGUGGCACCUUCCAGCCCUCCACAGGAGGGGUAAAAAACUUUUGAGCUUGAUACUUUAAAUUUGCCUCGGUAUGCCGAGUGAGUUUUGUAACCGACAAACCUUAACAGGCCUAGCGCCUGAGCACUUUCGGUUCCGCUAGGUGUUAUCCAAACUUGGGUUCGUCGCUGAAUAUGUUUGCAUUUGGUUUGAGGCGUCUUUUGCAGGUUAAAGCGAAGCGCUUAUUGCCAUCGACUUGUCCCCCAAUUCACUUAGGCGGGCACUGGGCUGCAGCUAAGUCCCCGAGCGAGAGGUUUUCCCUCCACUCGGUAGGAUUUCAGACACUUAGGCGAGCACUGGGCCGCAGCUAAGCCCCCGAGUGGGAGGUCUGCUCUCCACUCGGUAGGAUUUCAGAAACUUAGGCGAGCACUGGGCUGCAGCUAAGCCCCCGAGUGGGAGGUCUGCUCUCCACUCAGUAGGAUUUCAAACACUUAGGCGAGCACUGGGCUGCAGCUAAGCCCCCGAGUGGGAGGUCUGCUCUCCACUCGGUAGGAUUUCAGACACUUAGGCGAGCACUGGGCUGCAGCUAAGCCCCCGAGUGGGAGGUCUACUCUCCACUCGGUAGGAUUUCAGACNNNNNNNNNNNNNNNNNNNNNNNNNNNNNNNNNNNNNNNNNNNNNNNNNNNNNNNNNNNNNNNNNNNNNNNNNNNNNNNNNNNNNNNNNNNNNNNNNNNNNNNNNNNNNNNNNNNNNNNNNNNNNNNNNNNNNNNNNNNNNNNNNNNNNNNNNNNNNNNNNNNNNNNNNNNNNNNNNNNNNNNNNNNNNNNNNNNNNNNNNNNNNNNNNNNNNNNNNNNNNNNNNNNNNNNNNNNNNNNNNNNNNNNNNNNNNNNNNNNNNNNNNNNNNNNNNNNNNNNNNNNNNNNNNNNNNNNNNNNNNNNNNNNNNNNNNNNNNNNNNNNNNNNNNNNNNNNNNNNNNNNNNNNNNNNNNNNNNNNNNNNNNNNNNNNNNNNNNNNNNNNNNNNNNNNNNNNNNNNNUAAGCCCCCGAGUGGGAGGUCUGCUCUCCACUCGGUAGGAUUUCAGACACUUAGGCGAGCACUGGGCUGCAGCUAAGCCCCCGAGUGGGAGGUCUGCUCUCCACUCGGUAGGAUUUCAGAAACUUAGGCGAGCACUGGGCUGCAGCUAAGCCCCCGAGUGGGAGGUCUGCUCUCCACUCGGUAGGAUUUCAAACACUUAGGCGAGCACUGGGCUGCAGCUAAGCCCCCGAGUGGGAGGUCUGCUCUCCACUCGGUAGGAUUUUUGAAUUGGUGGCGCAACUCGGAAGGAGAGGGUAGCAGUCGACCUGCACCUCGUCCUCCUUGCGGAACGCAUGUUGUACUUGUACUUAGGCGAGUUCUUGGACUGCAGCUAGGCCUCCGAGUGGAAGGCUGGCUUACCACUCGGUAGGAUUUUAUUUAUCUUAGGCGAGUACUUGGACUGCAGCUAAGCCUCCGAGUGGAAGGCUGGCUUACCACUCGGUAGGAUUUUAUUUAUCUUAGGCGAGUACUUGGACUGCAGCUAAGCCUCCGAGUGGAAGGCUGGCUUACCACUCGGUAGGAUUUUAUUUAUCUUAGGCGAGUACUUGGACUGCAGCUAAGCCUCCGAGUGGAAGGCUGGCUUACCACUCAGUAGGAUUUUAUUUAUCUUAGGCGAAACGGAUUUUACAGCUAAGCCUUCGUGUGGGAGACUGACUCACCACUCGGUUAGGAUUUGUUUUUACAGACUUAGGCGAAUCGGAUUCGCAGCUAAGCCACCCACUGGGGGAUUGUUUUAUAUGGACAAAAGUAAUAACAAUCACUGGGAAAACUAUAAAGCUCUUGUCUUUGAUAAAUAAACUACAGGAGUACUUUUAUUACAACUCAUCCGAGUGAAUACCUAAGUGUAAAAGGGGCGGAGAAGCUCCGCGUUCCAAGCUCGGGGCUCGUCAAUCUGAUGCUUGACAUUGUAAAGACGGUAUGCUCCAUUGUGGAGAACCUUGGUGACCAUGAAGGGACCUUCCCAAGAAGGAGCAAGCUUGUGUGGUUUCUGCUGGUCCACUCGGAGAACUAAAUCUCCUUCCUGGAAGGCUCGACUCUUCAUGUUUUUGGCGUGGAAGCGACGCAAGUCUUGUUGAUAAAUGGUCGAUCUGAUCAGAGCCAUCUCUCUUUCUUCCUCUAAAAGGUCGACUGCGUCCUGCCGCGCUUGUUCUGCUUCAGCUUCGGUGUAGAGCUCGACUCGGGGAGCGUUGUGGAGAAGAUCACUCGGCAAGACUGCUUCAGCUCCGUAGACCAAGAAGAAUGGAGUUCUUCCAGUCGACCGGUUGGGUGUGGUCCUUAACCCCCAAAGCACCGAGGGAAGUUCGUCAACCCAUGCACCAGCCGCAUGCUUGAGAUCACGCAUCAAACGGGGCUUCAACCCUUUGAGAAUUAAACCGUUGGCUCAUUCUGCCUGUCCAUUCGUCUGCGGAUGGGCAACUGAAGCAUAGUCGACUCGCGUGCCUUGAGACGUGCAGAAAGCUCUGAAUUCUUCAGAAUCGAAGUUUGACCCGUUAUCAGUGAUGAUGUUGUGCGGGACUCCAUAUCUAAAUAUCAGUUCUCGGAUGAAGCUGACAGCGGUACCAGCAUCGAGGUUCUUGAUGGGUUUGGCCUUAAUCCACUUGGUAAACUUGUCGACUGCUACCAGCACAUGUGUGAAACCGCUUCUUCCUGUUCUCAAUGGGCCAACCAUAUCCAAACCCCAUACAACAAAGGGCCAGACAAGUGGUAUGGUCUUUAAGGCUGAGGCAGGCUUGUGUGACAUAUUGGAGUAAAAUUGACAUCCCUCACACUUGUCGACUAUCUCCUUCGCCAUUUCAUUCGCUCUGGGCCAAUAAAAACCAGCUCGGUAUGCUUUGGCCACGAUGGUCCGAGAAGACGCAUGAUGGCCACAGGUCCCCGAGUGGAUGUCAUUGAGAAUCAUUCGACCUUCCUCCGGUGUUAUGCAUUUCUGGCUGACUCCAGUCGCACUUUCUCUGUACAACUGACCUCUCAUGACGGUGAAGGCUUUGGACCGGCGGACGAUCUCUCGAGCUUCUUCUUCAUUCUCGGGGAGUUCCUUCCUCAAAAUAUAGGCGAUGUAGGGCACUGUCCAAUCGGGAGUGAUGACCAAAACUUCCAUGAUCAAGUCGACCACCGCUGGGACCUCGACUUCAGUCGGAUCUGUGGCGCUUUUAGGCUGCGGGGCUUCUGCAGUGAAAGGAUCCUCUUGAACCGAUGGCGUGUAGACAUGUUCCAAAAACACGCCACUCGGAAUGGCUUCCCUCUUGGAACCUAUCUUUGCCAAGUCAUCGGCUGCUUGAUUUUUCAGUCGGGGAACGUGAUGGAGUUCUAACCCUUCGAAUUUCUUUUCAAGCUUCCUCACUGCAUUGCAGUAUCUAGUCAUGGAUGGGCUUCUCACGUCCCACUCCUUCAUCACCUGAUUGACCACCAAAUCUGAGUCGCCGUAAACCAUAAGGCGACGGACGCUGAGUGAAAUGUCCAUGCGCAACCCAUACAACAGUGCUUCAUAUUCUGCUUCAUUGUUGGAGGAAUCAAAGUGGAUCUGGAGCACAUAUCUGAGCUUAUCUCCUCGGGGAGAAACCAAAACUACCCCAGCACCAGAACCAUUUAACAUCUUAGAGCCAUCAAAGAACAUGGUCCAAUGCUCCGAGUGAACUUGAGUCGGCUGCUGCUGUUCAAUCCACUCGGCAAGGAAAUCUGCUAUAGCCUGGGACUUAAUGGCUUUCUUUGCCUCGAAUUUGAUAUCAAGGGGAAGGAGUUCAAUCGCCCAUUUAGCCACUCGACCAGUUGCAUCUCUGUUGUGCAGAAUCUCCGACAAUGGUGCGUCGCUGACGACUAUAAUGUCAUGAUCAGAGAAAUAAUGAGCAACCUUCUUCAUGGUCAUGUAGAUCCCAUAUACGAGCUUCUGAUAAUGAGGAUAUCUUUGCUUCGAUCGGGUCAAAACUUUAGAGAGAUAAUACACUGGGCGCUGAACUUUGAAGGCUUUCCCUUCUACUUCCCGCUCGACCGUAAGUAUUGUACUGACGACUUGUCCUGUGGCUGCAAUAUAAAGCAACAGUGGCUCUUUACUGAUUGGAGCGGCAAGCACCGGCUAGGUGGAGAGCAGAGUUUUUAACUCGGCAAACGCUGCAUCAGCUUUUGGAGUCCACUCGAACUUGUCUGCCUUCUUCAUCAGUCGGUAAAGGGGCAACGCCUUUUCACCGAGGCGAGAGAUGAAUCGACUUAACGCGGCCAGGCAUCCAGUAAGCUUCUGGACAUCGUGCACACGCACAGGGCGUUUCAUUCGGAGUAUGGUGCCAACUUUUUCUGGGUUAGCAUCGAUUCCUCGUUCCGAAACGAGAAAACCGAGUAACUUCCCACCAGGUACUCCGAAUGUGCACUUUGAAGGAUUGAGCUUGAUAUCAUACCUCCUGAGAUUGGCAAAUGUUUCAGCUAAGUUAGUCAACAGGUCGGAACCCUUUCGCGACUUGACCACGAUAUCAUCCAUGUAUGCUUCCACAUUCCAACUAAUUUGAGUGAGUAAACACUUUUGAAUCAUUCUCAUGAAUGUGGCUCCGGCAUUCUUGAGGCCGAAAGGCAUGGUGAUAUAGCAGAAGCACCCGAAUGGGGUGAUGAAAGCUGUUUUGAUUUCAUCGGGCCCAUACAGACGGAUCUGAUGAUACCCGGAAUAAGCGUCCAGAAAAGACAAUCUCUCGCACCCUGCGGUCGAGUCGACAAUUUGGUCGACGCGAGGGAGAGGAAAAUGAUCUUUCGGGUAGGCCUGAUUGAUAUGUUUGAAAUCAAUGCACAUACGAAGGGAAUUGUCCUUUUUGCGAACCAUAACGACAUUGGCGAGCCACUCGGAGUGGUAUAUCUCUCGGAUGAACUCUGCUGCAAGGAGUCGAGCCACCUCUUCGCCAAUGGCUUUUUUGUUCUGAACAGCGGACCGUCGAAGAUGUUCUUUAACGAGUUUUGCCUUUGAAUCGACUCUAAGGCGAUGCUCAGCCAGUCCCCUGGGAACACCUGGCAUGUCAGCUGGCUUCCAUGCGAAGAUGUCCCAGUUCUCACGGAGGAACUGGAUGAGCGCUUCUUCCUAUUUAGAGUCGGGUGUAGUGGAAAUAUGGGUCGGAGCUGCAUUGGGGUCAGUCGGGUGGAUGUGAACUGGCUUCGUCUCACCGGACGACUGAAAUGCUGACUCUGUGGCGGGCUUCUUGGCUCGCAGUAAAUCACUCGGAUCUGCGUUCUUCUUGUACCCCUCUAGCUCUAUCACUGUUAUCUGGUCAUCCGCAAUCUUUGAGCCUUUCUGGAAACACUCUUCUGCUUUCUUCCGGUUACCAGUGACGGUGAUCACGCCUUUGGGGCCAGGCAUCUUUAACUUGAGGUACACGUAACAUGGUCGAUCCAUGAAGCGGGCGUAGGCUGGUCUUCCCAAGAUAGUGUGGUAGGCGCUCUGGAAAUCCACGAUUUCAAAUGUCAGCUUCUCUUUGCGGAAAUGCUUCGAGUCACCGAACACCACAUCCAGAGCUAUUUGGCCGAGUGACUCAGCCUUCUUUCCUGGGAUGACUCCGUGAAAACUCAUGUUGCUGGAACUGAGCCUGGACAUCGGAAUGCCCAUUCCCUUGAGCGUCUCUGCAUAUAGUAUGUUCAACCCGCUGCCGCCAUUCAUCAAUACCUUCGUCAGUCGAGUGCCUUCGACGACCGGGUCGGCCACCAGUGCUUGCCUCCCAGGGGUGGCAAUAUGAGUAGGAUGGUCCGACUGGUCGAAAGUAAUGGGAGUUUGCGACCAUCUCAGAUAGUUUGGUGUUGCUGGUGCGACCAUAUUGACUUCACGGUUGAUCACUUUCAGUCGACUUUUGCUCUCUACAUCAGCAAAAAUCAUCAGAGUGAAGUUGACAUGAGGGUACUCACCAUCACUGUCCUGCUUGUCCUCAGCCUUGUCUGACUCCUUCUCUUUGUCCUUCAGCUGUUUCCCUUGGAACUGCUGGAUUAAGAGCCGGCACUGGCGAGUGGUAUGCUUUGGGUAGAUGAAGUUACCCUCUUCGUCUUUCUUCGUGUGGAUAUGACACGGCAGGUCCAUCACAUCAUUACCCUCCUUAUCUUUUACCUUCUUGGGGUUCCAAGAUCCUUUGGGCUUCCCUUUAAAUUUGCCCUGUGUCACGGCUAGAGCCUCUCCAGGAGCUGCUGGCUCGGCCUUCCGCUUCUGCUUCCGACUGGAGUUUCCUUUAUCCGACUAACUCGGCUUGUACUUGCCGCUCCGGAGUCGGUCCUCUUCUUCGCCGUUGGCGUACUUGGUGGCUAUUUCCAUCAUCCGACUCAGGGUCAUGUCUCCAGUUCGACCAAACUUCAGGCUCAACUCUUUGUUCUUGACGCCAUCUUUGAAGGCGCAAACCGCUUGAUGGUCCGACACAUUCUCUACAGUGUGAUGCAAAGUGAUCCACCUCUGGAUGUAAUCCCUCAGUGUUUCACUCGACUUUUGUACACAAACUUGUAGCUCAGUUAAUCCAGCAGGUCGCUUGCAAGUUCCCUCAAACGUCCUGACGAACACUCGAGAAAGAUCUACCCAGGUGUAAAUGUUGCUGGGAGCUAACUGAUUCAACCAUGCCCUGGCUGAACCUCCUAGAAUAAGUGGCAAAUGUUUCAUGGCCACCUCAUCAUUACCGCCACCAAUCUGAACAGCCACUCGGUAGUCUUCGAGCCAAGUUUCAGGCUUAGACUCUCCGGUGAACUUAUUCACCCCAUUCGCCAACCUGAAGUUGGGGGGUAUCACUGCGGUUCUGAUCGCUCUGCGAAAACAUUCUGGACCUGAAACAUGGACUCGGCUGCUUGUGGGCACAUCUCUGUCAUGACCACCUCUAUGAGCUCUGUUUCAGUCGACCAAACCUUGCACGAUGAUGGAUCUCGCGUCAAAGCCUGGCUCUCUGGGGUCGACUGGAGCUCUCUGCCCAACACUGAGCUGGCUUCUAUCAUCUUGCUGCCGAUGGGCGUUAGACCCACUUCUCGGAGGAGGAGUGGGCACUCGACGCCUGUCAUCACGAUCAAAUCGAUCAUCAUAGUGGUCCCGCCGGCCUUCACGUCCCACGCGCCUCGGAGGCGACCUUGGACUGUCAGCUGACUGAAUAGUAUUCGCAGCAACAGAUCGACUGUGAAUCCUGUUAGGUGACUGUGACACAGCUGAAUUCUGAUCUCCUGCUGCCCGGAGCAAAUCUCUGAUCUGCAUCAAGCCUCUUCCAGCCUCUGACUGAGAGGGCUGAAUUGACUCUGCUAUGCGGGCUGCAGCUGCCAAAUUCUGAAUUGGGGUUCGAUAUACCUGAGUUGGUUGCGGAAAGAGCUGACGUCGAUUGGAGUUAGUCGCUCGUUGACGCGCAUGCUCGUCGAGUGCUCGCUGAAGGUUCUCCAGUCGAGUGUGUUCAGCCAGGUUGGCUAAACGCGCCUCUUCCAGGGCACGAGCCUCAGGAGUUUCUCCUGCAAUGGGAGUAUGCAGGGCAUCCAUGUUCUGGCGGCGAAGUUCUUCCCUCUGCUGGGAAGUGAGCGGCUCGGGUUGGUACUCUUCAUGGGCUUGAGCAGGGUCAUCCUCGUCGUCCAUCCCGUCGCCACGGGGGAAACCGGGAGGACUACGGGGCCCAUUGACCAUCAGGACCUCCGCCGUCGGAUCACUGCUAUCGCACUCGGAUGCAGCCUCUACAGAGCCAGUCGACAGGUCGAAUAGGCCGUAGAGAGAUCCGUCAGGCUCAAUCGCCGCGACUUGGGUGGUGGCCGAUUGGCGAGCCACUGCGUGUCUCACCCAUCGCUGGAGCCUCAACCGACCGGAGCGCUUGCGCUGGCGGGAGACAGGGAGGGAGGACGGCGCAGGAGUCGACCGGUAUGGGGUCGACGGCUGCCGCAGCAAGACGCUGCGGACACACACCCGAAAGUGCAUCGCCCCGCGGACGGGGAGCGCUCCGAUGUCGAGUGGUGCCUCCUGGAGCCAAGCGGAGUCGUCGGCGAUGAAAGUGAGCGCACCGAGACGGAUCUCGUGGCCCUCGACCAGAGCUCUGCCAGAAACCAUGAUGAAGGCGAUCGGACAAAUUGCAACUUCUCCAAAAAAGUCGCUAAGACACCUGCCCCACGGUGGGCGCCAACUGUCGUGGUUCUAAGUCUGACAGUAGAAUGGGGGGUAAGUAUGGAAAGGCAAGGUCCUAGCUAUGGAGUAGUUGUACACACGGGUGUUUAGCGAGUUCAGGCCCUUCUCUGAGGAAGUAACAGCCCUACGUCUCGGAGCCCGGAGGCGGUCGACUGAUCUCUGUGUAUAUGAGUUACAGGGGUGCGAAACUUUCUACCAGUGGAGGGGGGUGGCUUAUAUAGAGGACGCCAGGACCCCAGCCAGCCCACGUAGGGGGGGUAAAAGUACAUUAAGGCUGGGCGUUAUUGGUAACGCCCUACAUAAAGUGUCAUCAUGACCAUUAAGACUAUUUAAUUACAAACCGUUUGGAUGCAGAGUAGAUCCUGAACUUCCGAUAGUCGAGUGCGUCUUCAUGGUCGAGUGUCUUCUAGCCGGUCGAGUGGAGUCUCCCUUGGUCGAGUGGAGCUUCUUUUGGUCGACUGGAAGGUAGCUUCAUAUGAUAAUGUCCUUGGGCAUGGUAUCCUAGAUAGGUCCAUGACCCUACCCUAGGUACAUAACCUCAUCAGUGACCCCGUGGACGAAAAAGGUCUGAACAUUUUUCUGAUUUGCACACACCCUGUCGAUCCUGGACACACCAGAAAAGGCCAAUCUUUUUUAUUUAGCUGCCUAUGUUUUUACACAAAACUAUGAAGAACAUAGAGGGCAGCUUUGGGUCACGGAAAAAACUUAUACUGUGUGCAAAAGAAAUCAUGAUUUCAGCAGCACUGAAUAUGUACAGCAAAGGUCGAAACAAUUUAUCAAAAAAUGUGUCUGUGUUUCAUUCUUCCGCAAUACAAUAAGAAGUCCACCACUAAAGCUUUUUCCUCCUCCACAAGUAAAGUCCCUUAUCCUCCGGUCGGCGUCGCCGUCGGUCCGCCCCAUCUCUGAUGGCCUCUGGGCCAUGGAGUCGCCGAGGAUCCCAGCCCUUGUUCUCCUCCUUGUUAGAUUUAGCGUCUUGGUUGGGGUUGGGUGGAGGCGGCGAUGUCCCUUAAUAGGAAUAAUGUAUGAUUGGUUAUCUUUGUAAGUAUCUUCGAGUUAUCAGUUUGGUUUGGCCUACUAGAUUUAUCUUUCUUGCAAUGUUAGAAGUGCUUAGCUUUGGGUUCAAUCUUGCGGUGUCCUUUCCCAGUGACAGCAGGGGCAGCAAGGCACGUAUUGUAUUGUUGUCAUCGAGGAUAAAAAGAUGGGGUUUAUAUCAUAUUGCUUGAGUUUAUCCCUCUACAUCAUGUCAUCUUGCCUAAUGUGUUACUUUGUUCUUAUGAAUUUAAUACUCUAUAUGCAAGCUGGAUAGCGGUCAAUGUGUGGAGUAAUAGUAGUAAAUGCAGGCACGAGUCGGUCUACUUGUCGUGGACGUGAUGCCUUGAUACGUCUCCAACGUAUCUAUAAUUUUUUAUUGUUCCAUGCUAUUAUAUUACCCGUUUUGGAUGUUUAUGGACUUUACUUUACACUUUUAUAUUAUUUUUGGGACUAACCUACUAACCGGAGACCCAACCCGUAUUGCUGUUUUUUUUGCCUAUUUCAGUGUUUUGAAGAAAAGGAAUAUCAAACAGAGUCCAAACGGAAUGAAACCUUCAGGAGCGUGAGUUUUGGAACAAACGUGAUCCAAGGGACUUGGAGUGCAAGUCAAGAAGCAAUCGAGGCGGCCACCAGGGUGGAGGGCGCCCCCUAUCUCGUGGGCCCCUCGGGCGUCCACCGACCUACUUCUUCCUCCUAUAUAUACCCACGUACCACGAGAACAUCAAAGGCGACCACGAAAAACUAUUUCCACCACCGUAACCUUCUGUAUUCACGAGAUCCCAUCUUGGAGCCUUCGUCAUUGCUCCAUCGGAGAGGGAAUCAACCAUGGAGGGCUUCUACAUCAACACCAUAGCCUCUCCAAUUAGUUGUGAGUAGUUUACCACAGACCUUCGGGUCCAUAGUUAUUAGCUAGAUGGCUUCUUCUCUCUCUUUGAAUCUCAAUAUCAUGUUCUCCUCGAUCUUCUUGGAGAUCUAUACGGUGUAACUCUUUUUGCGAUGUGUUUGUCUCGAUCCGAUGAAUUGUGGGUUUAUGAUCAAGUUUAUCUAUGAGAAAUAUUUGAAUCUCCUCUGAAUUCUUUUAUGUGUGAUUAAGUUAUCUUUGCAAGUCUCUUCAAAUUAUCAGUUUGGUUUGGCCUACUAGAUUGAUCUUUCUUGCAAUGGGAGAAGUUCUUAGCUUUGGGUUCAAUCUUGCGGUGUCCUUUCCCAGUGACAGCAGGGGCAGCAAGGCAUGUAUUGUAUUGUUGUCAUCGAGGAUAAAAAGAUGGGGUUCAUAUCAUAUUGCAUGAGUUUAUCCCUCUACAUCAUGUCAUCUUUCUUAAUGCGUUACUCUGUUAUUUAUGAACUUAAUACUCUAGAUGCAUGCUGGAUAGCGGUCGAUGUGUGGAGUAAUAGUAGUAGAUGCAGGCAGGAGUCGGUCUACUUGUUAUGGACGUGAUGCCUAUAUACAUGAUCAUGCCUAGAUAAUCUCAUAAUUAUUUGCUUUUCUAUCAAUUGCUCGACAGUAAUUUGUUCACCCACCGUAAUACUUAUGCUAUCUUGAGAGAAGCCACUAGUGAAACCUAUGGCCCCCGGGUCUAUCUUUUAUCAUAUAAGCUUUCAAUCUACUUUUAUUUGCAUCUUUACUUUUCCAAUCUAUAUUAUAAAAUACCAAAAAUAUAUUUAUCUUAUCAUACUAUCUCUAUCAGAUCUCACUUUCGUAAGUGGCCGUGAAGGGAUUGACAACCCCGUUAUUGCGUUGGUUGCGAGUUCUUGUUUGUUUGUGUAGGUGCGUCGGACUUUUGAGGAGCCUCCUACUGGAUUGAUACCUUGGUUCUCAAAAACUGAGGGAAAUACUUACGCUACUAUUGUUGCAUCACCCUUUCCUCUUCAAAGAAAACCAACGCAAGCUCAAGACGUAGCAUGCCUAUAUACAUGAUCAUGCCUAGAUAUUCUCAUAACUAUGCACUUUUCUAUCAACUGCUCGACAGUAAUUUGUUCACCCGCCGUAAUAUUUAUGCUAUCUUGAGAGAAGCCACUAGUGAAACCUAUGGCCCCGGGUCUAUUUUCCAUCAUAUAAGUUUCCGAUCUACUUUAUUUAGCAAUCUUUACUUUUCAAUCUAUAUCAUAAAAAUACCAAAAAUAUUUAUCUUAUUAUUAUCUCUAUCAUAUCUCACUUUCGCAAGUGGCCGUGAAAAGAUUGACAACCCCUUUAUCGCGUUGGUUGCGAGGUUCUUGUUUGUUUAUGUAGGUACGAGGGACUUGCGUGUAGCCUCCUACUGGAUUGAUACCUUGGUUUUCAAAAGUUGAGGGAAAUACUUACGCUACUUUGCUGCAUCACCCUUUCCCGCUUCAAGGGAAAACCAACGCAGUGCUCAAGAGGUAGCAAGAAGGAUUUCUGGCGCCGUUGCCGGGGAGGUCUACGCACAAGUCAAGACAUACCAAGUACCCAUCACAAACUCUUCUCCUCGCAUUACAUUAUUUUCCAUUUGCCUCUUGUUUUCCUUUCCCCCACUUCACCCUUGCCGUUUUAUUCGCGCUCCCUUUCCCGUUCGCCUCUUUUUCCGCUUGCUUCUUGUGGUACUUGCUUUCACUAUGUCUGAAACUGGGGAGGUUAUCAUUGAUAAGGACAAUAGUAAUAACAUGGGAAACUUUGAUGCUUUUGAUGAUCCUACUGAAGAAACCACUAUCUUACAUACUAAAAGAUUUCGAAUCGGUAGUGGUAAUAUUAUUGGAAAAGGGGUUAUUCAAGAUUCUUUACUUGUGUUGGUGCUUUACCUUCUAUGGGUGGAUCUAUUCUUCAUAGAACUAGUAGUCUUGCGGAUGCUAUAUCCUUGCUUAUAGUUGAACUUGAAAGACAGUUUAUGCAUAUGCAUCCUUGCAUACAAAGGAUUUUUCUAGAAUUUUCCAAUAUUGAGCAUUCUUCUGUUAAGCGCGCAGCUACUAUCUUUUUGGCACAUGAGUUCAGAUUUAUAAUAAAAGAAGCCAGAGAAAUCUUUGCGCACUAUAGGGUGGACGCUGGUCGCCCUCCCAUUUAGGCGAUCCUUUUUAAUCAAGAAGACAUAAUGCGUUUACAAUCCUUAGAUCGUGUUGCUUUUAAUGAAAACCUUAGGAAAAAGGUUCCUACCGAUGUUCUAGUUGAUAGAAUCUCUGAACUUAAUGAUGAUUUUGCUAUUCAUAACAAUGGGUUGGGAUUUUCUCUUGAGCAAAGGCUCAUGACUUUUUGCCAAAAGAAUGCUUAUAAUGAUGAAUUGGUUGUGUAAUAUGAAGGGCCAAAGGAGGAACCCAUACCUCCCGAGCUUGAUCUUGGGGACUUUUGUCCCAUUAAAUUUAGCCCUUUUGAUUACUUUUGCUUGCCACAAAGAAAACUUGUUGUUGAACGUAGGGAAUAUGAGAUGAGUUUUCGUGAUUUACCUUAUCAUUACGGCAAUAAUUAGAUCUAUUCUCGCUUUUAUGCCUAGCUAGGGGCGUUAAACGAUAGCGCUUGUUGGGAGGCAACCCAAUUUUAUUUUUGUUCUUUACUUUUUGCUCCUGUUUAGUAUUAAAUAAUUCAUCUAGCCUCUGGUUAGAUGUGGUUUUAUGUUUUAGUUAGUGUUUGUGCCAAAUAGAACCUAUAGGAUCAUCUUGGGUGAUAGUUAAUUUGAUCUUGCUAAAAAACAGAAACUUUUGCGCACACGAGAAUAAUUUUAAUAAAUCACAGAAACAUGAUUUUGAGUUGAUUAUUUUUUAAGAAGAUUAAUAGACAAAUUUACUAGGACUUCCUAUUUUCGUAGGACUUUUAAGGUUCUAGAAGUAUUCGAAAGUUACAGAUUACUACAGACUGUUCUGUUUUUGACAGAUUCUGUUUUUUGUGUGUUGUUUGCUUAUUUUGAUGAAUCUAUGGCUAGUAUCGGGGGGUAUGAACCAUAGAUAAGUUGGAAUACUGCAGGUUUAACACCAAUAUAAAUAAAGAAUGAUUUCAUUACAGUACCUUAAAGUGGUGGUUUGCUUUUUUGCACUAACGGAGCUCAUGAGAUUUUUUGUUGAGUUUUGUGUUGUGAAGUUUUCAAGUUUUGGGUAAAGAUUUGAUGGAUUAUGGAAUAAGGAGUGGCAAGAGCCUAAGCUUGGGUAUGCUCAAGGCACCCCAAGAUAAAUUCAAGGACAACCAAAAGCCUAAGCUUGGGGAUGCCCCGGAAGGCAUCCCCUUGUCUUCAUCUAUCAGUAACUUUACUUGGAGCUAUAUUUUUAUUCACCACAUGAUAUGUGUUUUGCUUGGAGCGUCUUGAAUGAUAUGAGUCUUUGAUUUUUAGUUUACCACAAUCAUCCUUGCUGUACACACAUUUUGGGAGAGACACACAUGAAUCGGAAUUUAUUAGAAUACUCUAUGUGCUUCACUUAUAUCUUUUGAGCUAGAUAAUUUUGCUCUAGUGCUUCACUUAUAUCUUUUUAGAGCACGGCGGUGGUUUUAUUUUGUAGAAAUUAUUGAUCUCUCAUGCUUCACUUAUAUUAUUUUGAGAGUCUUUUAGAACAGCAUGGUAUUUGCUUUGGUUAUAAAAUUAGUCCUAAUAUGAUGGGCAUCCAAGUUGGGUAUAAUAAAAAUUGUCAUAGAAAGUGCAUGAAACACUAUAAGAAAUUUGAUACUUGAUAAUUGUUUUGAGAUAUAAAGGUGGUAAUGUUAGAGUCAUGCUAGUUGGGUAAUUAUGAAAUUGAGAAAUACUUGUGUUAAAGUUGGCAAGUCCCGUAGCAUGCACGUAUGGUAAACGUUGUGUGACAAAUGUGUUGCACGGGGUGUUCUUUUGAUUGCCUUCCUUAUGUGUGGAGGUCGGGAUCGCGCGAUGGUUAACUCCUACCAACCCUUCCCCUAGGAGCAUGCGUAGUAGUACUUUGCUUCGAGGGCUAAUAAACUUUUGCAAUAAGUAUAUGAGUUCUUUAUGACUAAUGUGAGCCCAUGGAUUAUACGCACUCUCACCCUUCCACCAUUGCUAGCCUCUCUUGUGCCGCGCAACUUUCGCCAGUAUCAUACACCCACCAUUUACCUUCCUCAAAACAGCCACCAUACCUACCUAUUAUGGAAUUUCUAUAGCCAUUCCAAGAUAUAUUGCCAUGCAACUCUCCACCGUUCCGUUUAUUAUGACACGCUCCAUCAUUGUCAUAUUGCUUUUGCAUGAUCAUGUAGUUGACAUCGUAUUUGUGGCAAAGCUACCGUUAUAAUUCUUUCAUACAUGUCACUCUUGAUUCAUUGCAUAUCCUGGUACACCGCUGGAGGCAUUCACAUAGAGUCAUAUUUUGUUCUAAGUAUUGACUUGUAAUUCUUGAGUUGUAAAUCAAUAAAAGUGUGAUGAUCUUCAUUAUUAGAGCAUUGUCCCAAGUGAGGAAAGGAUGAUGGAGACUAUGAUUCCCCCACAAGUCACUAUGAGACUCCGGACCUCAUGAUAAAUAAAAGAGGCCAAAGAAGCCCAAAUAAAAAAGAGAGGCCAAAGAAGCCCACCCAAAAAAAUGAGAGAAAAAGAGAGAAGGGACAUUGUUACUAUGCUUUUUCCAGACUUGUGCUUCAAAGUAGCACCAUGAUCCUCAUGGUAGAGUCUCCUAUGUUGUCACUUUCAUAUACUUGUGGGAAUUUUUCAUUAUAGAACUUGGCUUGUAUAUUACAAUGAUGGGCUUCCUCAAAAUGCCCUAGGUCUUUGUGAGUAAGCGAGUUGGAUGCACACCCACUUAGUUUCUUUUGUUGAGCUUUCACACAUUUAUAGCUCUAGUGCAUCUGUUGCAUGGCAAUCCCUACUCACUCACGUUGAUAUCUAUUAAUGGGCAUCUCCAUAGGCCGUUGAUACGCCUAGUCAAUGUGAGACUUUCUCCUUUUUUGUCUUCUCCACACAACCUCCAUCAUCAUAUUCUAUUCCACCCAUAGUGCUAUAUCCAUGGCUUACGCUCAUGUAUUGCGUGAGAGUUGAAAACGCUGAAGCGCGUUAAAAAGUAUGAACCAAUUGCUUGGCUGAAACCGGGGUUAUGCAUGAUGGGAGUAUUUUGUGUGACAAAAAUGAAGCAUAGCCUAACUAUAUGAUUUUGUAGGGAUAAGCUUUCUUUGGCUACAUUAUUUUGAUAAGACAUGAUUACUUGUUAGUAUGCUUAAAGUAUUACUAUUUUUAUGUUAAUAUGAACUUUUAUUUUGAAUCAUUUGGAUCUGAACAUUCAUGCCACAAUAAAGAAAAUUACAUUGAGAAAUAUGCUAGGUAGCAUUCCACAUCAAAAAUUCUGUUUUUAUCAUUUACCUACUCGAGGACGAGCAGGAAUUAAGCUUGGGGAUGCUUGAUACGUCUCCAAGGUAUCUAUAAUUUUUUAUUGUUCCAUGCUAUAUAUUACCCGUUUUGGAUAUUUAUGGGUUUUACUAUACACUUGUAUAUCAUUUUUUGGACUAACCUAUUAACCGGAGGCCCAGCCCAAAUUGUUGUUUUUGCCUAUUUCAGUGUUUCGCAGAAAAGGAAUAUCAAACGGAGUCCAAACGGAAUGAAACCUUCGGGAGAGUUAUUUUUAAAACAAACGCAAUCCAGGAGACUUGGAGUGGAUGUCAAGAAAAAAACAAGGCGGCCAUGAGGCAGGGAGGCGCGCCCUAGGGGGGUGGGCGCGCCCCCCACCCUCGUGGGCCCCUCGUGGCUCCUCUGACCGACUUUCUUCGCCUAUAUAUAUCUACAUACCCUGAAAACAUCCAGGAGCACCACGAAACCCUAUUUCCACAACCGCAACCUUCUGUACCCGUGAGAUCCCAUCUUGGAGCUUUUUCCGGCGCUCCGCCGGAGGGGGAAUCGAUCACGGGGGGCUUCUACAUCAACACCAUAGCCUCUCCGAUGAGUUGUGAGUAGUUUAUCACAGACCUUCGGGUCCAUAGUUAUUAGCUAGAUGGCUUCUUCUCUCUCUUGAAUCUCAAUACAAAGUUCUCCUCGAUCUUCUUGGAGAUCUAUUCGAUGUAAUUCUUUUUGCGAUGUGUUUGUGGAGAUCCAUGAAUUGUGGGUUUAUGAUCAAGUUUAUCCAUGAGAAAUAUUUGAAUCUCCUCUAAAUUCUUUUAUAUAUGAUUGGUUAUCUUUGCAAGUCUCUUCGAAUUAUCAGUUUGCUUUGGCCUACUAGAUUUAUCUUUUUUGCAAUGGGAGAAGUGCUUAGCUUUGGGUUCAAUCUUGCGGUGUCCUUUCCCAGUGACAGCAGGGGCAGCAAGGCACGUAUUGUAUUGUUGCCAUCGAGGAUAAAAAGAUGGGGUUUAUAUCAUAUUGCUUGAGUUUAUCCCUCUACAUUAUGUCAUCUUGCCUAAUGCGUUACUUUGUUCUUAUGAACUUAAUACUCUAGAUGCAUGCUGGAUAGCGGUCGAUAUGUGGAGUAAUAGUAGUAGAUGCAGGCAGCAAUCGGUCUACUUGUCGCGGACGUGAUGCCUAUAUACAUGAUCAUGCCUAGAUAUUCUCAUAACUAUGCACUUUUCUAUCAAUUGCUCGACAGUAAUUUGUUCACCACCGUAAUACGUAUGCUAUCUUGAGAGAAGCCACUAGUGAAACCUCUGGCCCACGGGUCUAUCUUUUAUCAUAUAAGCUUUCAAUCUACUUUUAUUUGCAUCUUUACUUUUCCAAUCUAUAUUAUAAAAAACCAAAAAUAUAUUUAUCUUAUCAUACUAUCUCUAUCAGAUCUCACUUUCGCAAGUGGCCGUGAAGGGAUUGACAACCCCUUUAGCGCAUUGGUUGCGAGGUUCUUGUUUGUUUGUGUAGGUACGAGGGACUUGCGCGUAGCCUCCUACUGGAUUAAUACCUUGGUUCUCAAAAGCUGAGGGAAAACUUACGCUACUUUGCUGCAUCACCCUUUCCUCUUCAAGGGAAAACCAACACAGGGCUCAAGUGGUAGCAAUGGGUUUUCCACUGAAUCUCACAUUCCAGGAUCCUAGCAUUUAUAGCAUGAAAUAUAAACUCUUAAUAAUGAACCUGGAAAUAUAAUAAUAUUAUAUUAUUGCCUCUAGGGCAUAUUUCCAAUAGUAUUCAACUUGCACUGAAGUCAAUAAUCUAGUUAGCACAUUUUUAUUUACACCAAUGGCAGUCUGGUGUUUGUCCAUACUCAGCUUGUGGUAUAGCCUUCAUCCCAUUGGAUCUUGAAAACUUCAUAUCCACGUGUAUCAUAUGCAUUUCAAUGCCUCUAUCAUGAUGGCUUUGUAUGUAUUGAAUCACUAGAAGGACCUAUGAUUCCUUGGACUGAGCUAUAGAACCACUAUUAAGUAUAGUGUUUCAUUGGCACAAUCAUCUAGAAAUCAUAACAAUCUCAUAAAUGAAAGUGUUAUUGAUCACUCUCCAUUGUUGCUUCUAAAGCAACAAUCUACUCAGCCCUCUGUUAUAGAUUUCACCACAGUAACCAACAACCCAACAAACACACUGCAAAAAACAUUACAUCGGAUAGAACUCCAAGAAGAUCGAGGAGAACAUUGUAUUGAAGAUCAAAGAGAGAAGAAGCCACUAGCUACUAGCUAUGGACUCGUAGGUCUGCGGUGAAUUGCUCACACAUCAUCGGAAGGCGGCACGGAUGAUGCAGAAGCCCUCAGUGAUCGAUUCCCCCUCCGGCGGAGUACCGGUAAAGCCCUCCAGAUGGAAUCGCGGAAGAAUAGAAGCUUGUGGUGGUGGAAAAAGUGUUUCGGAUGGCUCUCUGUUGGUUUGGGAAUAUUUGUGAAUUUAUAGGCUUGGAAUUAGGUCAAACGGAGUUGCGUGGGCCCAUAAGCUCAGGGGGCGCACUUUGUGAGCUCGUGGCUCUCUUGUAGCUCUUCUGGCCUCCUCCCGAACCUUCUAGGACCCCUUCUGGUCCAGAGAAAAUAACCAUAAUUCAUCGUAUUUGGACUUCGUUUGGUAUUGUUUUUCUGAAAAGCCAAAACAAGUAAAAAAUAGGAACUAGCACUGGGCAAUGGGUUAAUAGGUUAGUCCCAAAAGUGGUAUAAAAUAGCAUAAAAAUGCAUAUAAUCCAGGAUUGAUAAUAUAAUAGCAUGAAACAAUCAAAAGUUAUAGAUAUAUUGGAGACGUAUCAGCAUUCCCAAGCUUAAUUCCUGCUCGUCCUUGAGUAGGUAAAUGAGAAUAACAGAAUUUUUGUGUAUACAUGUAUUAUUUGUAGUGAGAUAUGUACAUGACAAAGAGCGAUACUACUGCCAGGAUCAGACCAAUGUACAUGACAUAAGAAAGAGGUGGCACAUCUCUGAAUGCAAGGUCCAUGGCAACAAGCAGACGCAAUGGAAAAGACAGAUUGUUUUGUCAUCUUUUGCAGCGCCAUCCUUUAGUAUGUCAGGGAGCAGCUAAGGAAUGAAAUCAUGCUCCAUUUUGGAUCAUAAGAUUUUAAUUUGACCAUAAGCUAAGCCUCCACCACACGAAAAGUGAUGAAAAUACAAAAUUUGUUAUGUGAUGCAAUACAAUGCAAAUCUUAUGUACUCCCUCUGUAAAGAAAUAUAAGAGCGUUUAGAUCAUUACUUUACACGUUACCAUCGUAAUCUCAAGCUUUGAAUUUAGUACUACUCAUUAAUCAAUUGUGUGAUCUUAAGAAAAUGCUAUACCUCUAAAAUGAACAACUAAAAGGUCAUGAGACACGUAGUGAUCUCCAAAUAAAUUGGUUGUUCUAGGGGAAAAGUGAUGAAAAGUGUUGUUCUAGGGGAAAAGUGAUGACAAGCAUGGAUUAUCUGUUUCGUCAUCUUGGGAGGGGGAGGGUCAUCCACAUGACCACAAGCCAAGCCCACACCCCACGUCAAGUGAUGCAAAUCCCAAUCAUGUCAUGUCAUGAUUUACAAUGCAAAUCUUCUUUAAAACUUUACACAUUGGCAUCACUAUCUUAAGCUUGGCAUUUGGUACUCCCUACGAUCCAUAUUUGUUGUCGCUCAAACGGAUGUAUCUAGCACUAAAAUACAUCUAGAUACAUCUGUUUCAGCGACAACUAAUAUGAAUCAAAGGGAAUACUACUAAUUAGUUGUGUGAUCUUAAUAAAACACCAUGCUUCUAAAAUGAACAGGUCACGAGGCGUGUACCAAUCUCCAGAUGAAUUUGAUGUUCUACAGAAUUCAUAUGUGCGGAAAGAUAAGACUGAAAACCGCACACUUACCCGGGAUAGGAUGGGAUAUUUUGAGAAAUAGAUAAGGAUUAGUUCAGGUUUCUCCCAUAUAUACGAAAUGACUGGACGAUGACUAAUUAAACGAGAGACAACAAACCACUUAUCUUCCUUUAUGACUCAAUUGAUCGAGAGCCUUCCCAAGUUGCUUUUGCGGUUUUGUUGGUCACAAUGCAGAUGCUUUGAACCUUUGCACAACCGUGGGCAUGUGGCUCCCGUUAAAUAGCCACAAGAUACCAUAAAAUUAGCACUUCCAAAGUUCCCAUUUACUCUCUCUUCCUCUCAAGUCUAACCAAAGCCCAACAAACCACCACCUCGGCCAUGGCAACCACCCUCGCCACCGACGUCCGCCUCUCCAUCGCGCACCAGACCCGCUUCGCCCUCCGUCUCGCCUCCACCAUCUCAUCCAACCCUAAGUCUGCUGCCAGCAAUGCCGCCUUCUCCCCGGUCUCCCUCUACUCCGCACUUAGCCUCCUCGCCGCUGGCGCGGGCAGUGCCACUCGGGACCAACUCGUCGCCACACUCGGGACAGGCAAGGUCGAGGGACUCCACGCGCUCGCCGAGCAGGUGGUCCAGUUUGUGCUCGCCGACGCGUCCUCCACUGGUGGUCCGCNNN